rnacentral:tRNA from 1 species
GCCUGCGUGGCGAAGUUGGUAGACGCGCUAGAUUUAGAUUCUAGUCCCGCACAAUGGGGUGCAAGCUCAACUCGUGCCGUAGUCACCA